CUUGAAACACGGACCAAGGAGUUUAUUGUAUGUGCGAGUCAUUAAGUGAUCAAACUUAUUGGCGUAAUGAAAGUAAAGUAUUCUUUAUCGAAUAUGAUAUAUGAUUGUUAUUCGUUUACGGAGAACAAGUAGUAUAGUCCCAUCUAAUUUGCUUGCAAAUGGGUGGAGAUAGAGCAUAUGCAAUGAGACCCGAAAGAUGGUGAACUAUGCCUGAGCAGGAUGAAGUCAGAGGAAACUCUGAUGGAAGUCCGAAGCGGUUCUGACGUGCAAAUCGAUCGUCUGACUUGGGUAUAGGGGCGAAAGACUAAUCGAACCAUC
rnacentral:rRNA from 1 species